UUUAGAUCCUUCGCGGGAGGACAGUCUUCCGCGUCGCUGGGGAAGGGCAGGUGGAGUGACAGUGAGGCAAGAGCUUGCGACCACAGCUGCCAUUUUAUUUUGGGCAGUUUGUCUUACUUCGUCUGUAGUGGCUGAUGGUGAAUAAAAGCAAGCAGACCCACCUCAUCCUUAUCCGUGAGAUGUGACUCAGGUACCCUUUUCUACACUGUCCCCCUCAUGCUUCAAAUAGCCUUCCCUGCCCCUCUAAGUGGCCAACUUGUAAUGGAACCCUCGCCAGGCAGGUGAACCGGACUGCACCGCUGUCCGCUGUCGCACCGGGAAAGGACUGUGGGAGAACAGCGGAGGCACAUCCAUUUCUGAGCAGCUGGCAGCACCACGUGGAGCCCAAGGCCCUGUGUAAACACAGCAACCCAGGAAGAGGGCUCGAUGCCCCUUCCUCUACCGGCCACCAAGCUCUUGCACUGUAAUGACUACUGUUGUCCAGGUUGGCAACAUUUUACAUUUCAGCAUCUCACAAAGUUGAUAAGUAAUUAUCUACACAUCACAGUUCUCCAUUAACAGAAGACAACCAUAAAGGGAGGUGGUGACGUGCCCUGUCAUUGAUUACAAAGCAGCUCUGAAGCAAGACAAAGCGUGGGACGCUGGACUUCAAGUUCUCACUGUGUUACCACCCUAAACGAACUUGAAAUUAGCGGAAGGAAUUGGAGCGAGCAAAAUCUCUGUAUGAGGCUGCACGAACGCAGGUGAUGUGGCAGAGGUGAUGGCGGUACAGAGGAAGAGGACACAUGCGCCUUGACUCCGACGGGAAAACCAACAAGACCCAGAACAGAAAGUGGAGUAAUAAAGGCUUUCGGAAGAUAAAUAUAUAUUUUUCCUACUUACUGCUAGGCCAAUGGGAAGGUGAAUUUGUACAACCUUUUCUUAAAUACAAUUUGAAAGUAUCUACCCAAAGUCUUAGCAUUUUACAUAGCUUUUGAUCUCUGCAAUUCCCUUUAAGGCAAUUAAUCUGGGGCUAAUAAUUACAAAUGUUUAGAAGACACACACAUGCACACACACGCGCAUUUAUGAGGUUGUCCGUCACCAGACUGUUUUUAAACGUGAAUAAUUGGAAAGAAUGAUCAAAAUUGAGUUGAUGACAUACAUUUUAAGGGCAGGACUCCACUGGAAUACUUAAAGUGAGGAAAUGUGGAGUCUGCCAGUCCUGUGCAAGCCGCUAAGUGUGUGACCUGGGUAAGUUACCUAACCUACCUAACCUCUCCGAACCUCGGUUUUCUUGGCUAUACA